rnacentral:rRNA from 1 species
GUUUCCUACGGGGGGCAGCAGUAGGGAAUUUUCGUCAAUGGGCGCAAGCCUGAACGAGCGAUGCCGCGUGAGCGAAGAAGGCCUUCGGGUCGUAAAGCUCUGUUGCGGGGGAAAAAAGGGAGCAUCAGGAAAUGGGAGCUGACUGAUGGUGCCCCGCCAGAAAGCCACGGCUAACUACGUGCCAGCAGCCGCGGUAAUACGUAGGUGGCGAGCGUUAUCCGGAAUGAUUGGGCGUAAAGGGAGCGCAGGCGGUCC